GAUAAACGCUGGCGGCGUGCCUUAUGCAUGCAAGUCGAACGGUCUCGAUUUAUCGGGAUAGUGGCGAACGGGUGAGUAACACGUAAGUAACCUACCCUUAAGUAGGGGAUAACCCUGAGAAAUCGGAGCUAAUACCUUAUGUGGUGAUGGGGCUAAUGCUGCAUCACUAAAGCCUUAGGGCGCUUGAGGAUGGGCUUGCGUCCGAUUAGCUAGUUGGUAGGGUAAUGGUUUACCAAGGCGAUGAUCGGUAGCUGGUUUGAGAGGAUGGUCAGCCACACUGGGAUUGAGAUACGGCCCAGACUCCUACGGGAGGCAGCAGCAAGGAAUAUUGUGCAAUGGGCGAAAGCCUGACACAGCGACGCCGCGUGGGGGAAGAAGGCCUUCGGGUCGUAAACCCUUUUUCUCAGGGAAGAAUAAUGACGGUACCUGAGGAAUAAGUCACGGCUAACUACGUGCCAGCAGCCGCGGUAAUACGUAGGUGGCAAGCGUUAUCCGGAUUUACUGGGUGUAAAGAGGGCGCGGGCGGCUUUUCAAGUCGAAUAUAAAAUCUCCCGGCUUAACUGGGAGGGAUUAUUCGAUACUGUUGGGCUAGAGAGCAGCAGGGGGAGGUGGAAUUCCCGGUGUAGUGGUGAAAUGCGUAGAUAUCGGGAGGAACACCAGUGGCGAAGGCGGCCUCCUAGGCUGUUGCUGACGCUGAGGCCCGAAAGCGUGGGGAGCAAACAGGAUUAGAUACCCUGGUAGUCCACGCCAUAAACUAUGGACACUAGGUAUGGGGGGUAUCGACCCCCUCCGUGCCGAAGCUAACGCUUUAAGUGUCCCACCUGGGAACUACGGCCGCAAGGCUAAAACUCAAAGGAAUUGACGGGGGCCC
rnacentral:rRNA from 1 species